rnacentral:rRNA from 1 species
AGGUCCAGCCUGCCCAGUGACCCAGUUCAACGGCCGCGGUACCCUAACCGUGCGAAGGUAGCAUAAUCACUUGUUCUUUAAAUAAGGACUAGUAUCAACGGCAUCACGAGGGUUAUACUGUCUCCCUAUUCUAAUCAAUGAAACUGAUCUCCCCGUGAAGAAGCGGGGAUUAACCUAUAAGACGAGAAGACCCCAUGGAGCUUUAAACCCAACACCAACUCUCCAAUUAUAAACCCUUAAAAUCGAAAGAGCCCUGUCUGUUGGUUUUAGGUUGGGGUGACCACGGAGAAAAACAAAUCCUCCAUAACGAAAAGGACCUAACCCUUUAUCUAGAGCUACUACUCUAAGAAUCAAUAAACUGACGCAAAAUGAUCCGAUUAUCGAUAUCAGUGAACCAAGUUACCCUGGGGAUAACAGCGCAAUCUACUUCAAGAGCCCUUAUCGACAAGUAGGUUUACGACCUCGAUGUUGGAUCAGGAUAUCCAAGUGGUGCAGCCGCUACUAAAGGUUC